rnacentral:rRNA from 1 species
GGCCUUAAGGUAGCGUAAUAAUUAGUUUAGUAAUUCUAUUCAAGUAUGAAGAUAAAACAGUGGGGGUAUUUCUUCUUUUUUUAUUUGAAUUUUAGUUUUCAUUGAAAACGAUGAAAUAUAUUAAAAAGACGAUAAGACCCUAGAAUCUUUACUGAGUUUUAUUGGGAUAAUAAGUUGGAGUAAUAAAAUAGUUUUAUCUUAUUAAUAAUGAACCAUAUUAACGUUUUAAGAAAAAGAUACUCUAGGGAUAACAGCACAAGUUUAUAUUAGAGUCCCUAUCGAAUAUAAAAUUGUGACCUCGAUGUUGAAUUAAAGUACACUUGCCGCAGUAGGUUAGGUUAAUUAAGUCUGUUCGACUUAUUUACUUUACAUGAUUUGAGUUAAGAUCGACGUAAGACAGAUGGUUUUUC